AUGAAGAAAUGAAUAGAGAGAAGCUUCUGUGAUUCUUGGUCUGCUUUGUGUAGGAUUUGAGAUUGUUGAAACGGCCAAGAGAAUCUGCUUUGCUACAUUUAUAAACUUAGGUUUAUACACAAAUACAUAUUUUAUGGAAACACAAGAAACUAGUCAUUGUGGCUGCCUCCACAGUGGGAACUGUAGGACAAGGGAAGAAAGGGCUGAGGACAGAGCUGGGGCCAACUACUGUGGCACAGAGCGUGGACCACCGCGGGCCCACAGUGUAUAUUUCAGUUUGCUUUUGUCGUCUGAAGGACCAAGCCCGGGGAUUCUGUAGCUAUAGCCGUCAAGAAACUGUCACAGGGACUUUCCCCACGAUGUGGACAACCCCAGGAUUCAGGCCUCGGCUUCCCAGGCUGAGAGGCCAAUGGUGGGGGAGCUUAGCGCUCAGCUCCGGCAAAGGCAGACCCGUCAUCCCCUUCCUCCCAUCCUUAGGCAGGAGCUGGCAGGAGAUCAGAUGCUACUUCAGUUCCAAGGGGCUCAUGAACAAAAGCUACCAAGUUGCUUAGAAACCUGCUUUUCUGAGGGUUCACCAGGUUUUCCUUUGUUUCUAUGGCAUUGUGUGUGUGAGUGUGCAUGAGCACGCUGAGGGCCAUCACCCCGCCAGGUCUGCAGCAAGUGGGACCAGAACGUGAGAACGGUGGGCUGCCCUGGGACACUGUCGCAGUCCCCAGGUAUCGCCAAGCCAGGCAGCCCAGGCGUUUGAGGGGCAACAAAGGGGAGCCAGCUGCCUGUGGCCAGAGGUGGACCGAGCUGUGAGCAGCUGCAGGAAGGAAGCUUUGGAUACUGAAUCCUGCACUCGCUUCAGCAACAGCCCAGAAGCCCUAGCAUGGGAGAUACCAACAACAGAACCGAGAGGGGACACCACUCUCAUCCCCUCGUUGAGCUUGGAAAAUAAAUUCUUGAGAUCAGGGUCACU